CAGCAGCCGCGGGAAUACGGAGGAUCCAAGCGUUAUCCGGAAUCAUUGGGUUUAAAGGGUCCGUAGGCGGUCUUGUAAGUCAGUGGUGAAAGCCCAUCGCUCAACGGUGGAACGGCCAUUGAUACUGCAGGACUUGAAUUAUUGGGAAGUAACUAGAAUAUGUAGUGUAGCGGUGAAAUGCUUAGAGAUUACAUGGAAUACCAAUUGCGAAGGCAGGUUACUACCAAUUGAUUGACGCUGAUGGACGAAAGCGUGGGUAGCGAACAGGAUUAGAUACCCGAGUAGUCCCUGUCUCUUAUAA
rnacentral:rRNA from 1 species